rnacentral:rRNA from 1 species
GUGGGGAAUCUUGCGCAAUGGGCGAAAGCCUGACGCAGCCAUGCCGCGUGAAUGAUGAAGGUCUUAGGAUUGUAAAAUUCUUUCACCGGGGACGAUAAUGACGGUACCCGGAGAAGAAGCCCCGGCUAACUUCGUGCCAGCAGCCGCGGUAAUACGAAGGGGGCUAGCGUUGCUCGGAAUUACUGGGCGUAAAGGGCGCGUAGGCGGACAGUUUAGUCAGAGGUGAAAGCCCAGGGCUCAACCUUGGAAUUGCCUUUGAUACUGGCUGUCUUGAGUACGGGAGAGGUGAGUGGAACUCCGAGUGUAGAGGUGAAAUUCGUAGAUAUUCGGAAAAACACCAGUGGCGAAGGCGACUCACUGGCCCGUUACUGACGCUGAGGCGCGAAAGCGUGGGGAGCAAACAGGAUUAGAUACCCUGGUAGUCC